UACGUAGGGUGCAAGCGUUGUCCGGAAUUAUUGGGCGUAAAGAGCUCGUAGGCGGUUCGUCGCGUCGGCUGUGAAAACCUGAGGCUCAACCUCAGGCCUACAGUCGAUACGGGCGGACUUGAGUACUGCAGGGGAGACUGGAAUUCCUGGUGUAGCGGUGAAAUGCGCAGAUAUCAGGAGGAACACCGAUGGCGAAGGCAGGUCUCUGGGCCAUAACUGACGCUGAGAAGCGAAAGCAUGGGGAGCGAACAGG
rnacentral:rRNA from 1 species